rnacentral:tRNA from 1 species
GGUCGCAUAGUCUAGUGGUUAUGAUAUCUGCUUUACACGCAGAGGGUCGCAAGUUCGAGCCUUGCUGCGACCA